CGUUCCCGGACCUUGUACACACCGCCCGUCAAGCCAUGGAAGUUAGGAGGACCUGAAGACAGUUGCUGUAAGGCGCUGUUUAGGGUUAAACUGAUGACUGGGGCU
rnacentral:rRNA from 1 species